rnacentral:misc_RNA from 1 species
GAAAAGCGAUAAGUAGUGUGAAUUGCAGAAUUCAGUGAAUCAUCGAAUCUUUGAACGCACAUUGCGCCCCUUGGUAUUCCAUGGGGCAUGCCUGUUCGAGCGUCAUCUACACCCUCAAGCUCUGCUUGGUGUUGGGCGUCUUUGUCCCGCCUCCGCGCGCGGACUCGCCCCAAAUUCAUUGGCAGCGGUCCUUGCCUCCUCUCGCGCAGCACAUUGCGCUUCUCGAGGUGUUGCGGCCCGCGUCCAGAAAGCAAUCGUUACCGUCUUUGACCUCGGAUCAGGUAGGGAUACCCGCUGAACUUAAGC